rnacentral:lncRNA from 1 species
AGGCUGCUGCUGCUGCUGCUGCUGCGGCGGCGGCGGAGGCUGCUGCUGGGGCGGCUGCUGCUGGGGCGGCUGCGGCGGCGGCUGCUGCGGGGGCUGCUGCUGCUGUUGCUGCACCGGGCGCGGCCGCGACACUCGCCUGGGUCUCCGGUUGGCGGCUCGGACGGAGUUCAUUUGCCGGGCUGAGGUGGCGGCGUUGGCGGAGGGACACACACACGCACACGCACAGCGAGCUUCGGGGCAGGAGAAAGGGGUCCCACAAACUGCAAGGAAAAGAAAAACCCUCAACAGGAAUUACCUUUAUACCUGAUGCCCCCAACAUAAUCUCUCUCCAAGGGAAACGUGUUUUUAUUGCCUUGCGGCUGAAAAUGUAUUCUCGAUUCUCCCCCUUCUCUCUUUUGUUGUGCAUUUUUUGGAUGUGGUAAAACUGGCAGUUUAUCUGAUUAUCUGGUUUUCAGAACUUUGGGCGAUGUCUCUGAGUGUCAUCAGUUGCUCUCUAGGUUUGACAUAGAUAAUUAAGCAACUACAAAGCGUGAUAAAGCUUUUGAGAGGGAGGAAAAUGUAUUUUGGAAGGAGGGAGAGACGCAAAGAGGCGAGCCUGUGUGUUGAGUCCCAGACUUGGUGUGUGACUACAGGCAAAGUACUUCACCUUUCUAGAUGUCAGCCCCGCCCCCCUCACCUCCCAAGUUUAAAUAAGAACUUAUUUUAGACUACAUGAUCCUGUUUUCAAUUUUUAAGAGUUCUGUGAUUUUGAGAUGAUCUCUCUUUAGUCCAGAAAAAUAGAGAAACGUAGGUCUAUGUUUGUUUCUCAAAAAAAUAUUUGAGGAGGACAGCUGUUACAAAACAGCUGGAGAACUCCAAAUUUUUAUGGUGGUUAGCUAGGUGCAAAUGGGUACAAUUUUAGGUUUGUUCAAAUAAACAUAGGGGAAAAGUAAAAGUACAGGAAAAUUACGUUAUACAUAUAAGUGUGUCCAUCAUUUCUGAUUUUUCUAAAAAUUUACUUUUUUAUUUGACAAGUACUUUUUGGCUCCUUCCGUGUAUGCAUUAAUAUGUAUAUAAGGUGUUAUGGGAAAUACUAAUAAAAGGAAAAUAUUGGGCAUAAA